GAUGAAGAACGUAGCGAAAUGCGAUACGUAAUGUGAAUUGCAGAAUUCAGUGAAUCAUCGAAUCUUUGAACGCACAUUGCGCCCGCCAGCACUCUGGCGGGCAUGCCUGUUCGAGCGUCAUUACAACCCUCAGGCCCCCGGGCCUGGCGUUGGGGAUCGGCGGAGCCCCCCGUGGGCACACGCCGUCCCCCAAAUGCAGUGGCGGUCCCGCCGCAGCUUCCAUCGCGUAGUAGCUAACACCUCGCGACUGGAGAGCGGCGCGGCCACGCCGUAAAACACCCAACUCUUCUGAAGUUGACCUCGAAUCAGGUAGGAAUACCCGCUGAACUUAAGCAUAUCAAUAAGCGGAGGA
rnacentral:misc_RNA from 1 species